GGUAUUCUGACUGUGCUAAGGUAGCAUAAUCAUUUGUUUCUUAAUUGGUAGCUGGAAUGAACGGUUGAACUAGUUUAAGAAGUGUGUAUAUUUUUUACAGAAAGUUAAAGUCAAGGUAAGAAUUCUUUGAUUAUUUAGGGGACGAUAAGACCCUAUAAGCUUGAUAAGUAUAAUGGUGGCUUUGUUUUUCAAGUUAAUUUAUUUUACUGGGGCGGUGCUUAUAUUUUAACUAUUAGUUUAAUUAGGAUCCUUAAUAUAUAGACGAAACGGAGAAGUUACUUUAGGGAUAACAGCGCAAUAUUUUUGGAGAGAUCUUAUCGAUAAAUAUGUUUGCGACCUCGAUGUUGAAUUAAAAUUUCUACGCGAAGCAGAAGGUGCAGUAGAGGGUUUGUUCAACCUUUAAAUUUUUACAUGAUCUGAGUUCAAACCGG
rnacentral:rRNA from 1 species